UCUCCGUAGGUGAACCUGCGGAGGGAUCAUUACAGAGUUCUCGCCCUCACGGGUCGAUCUCCCACCCACUGUUAUCGUUACUGUCGUUUCUUUGGCGGGCCGCCGGGUCCCCGGCCGCCGGCGCCUAGCUGCCGGCGCGCGCCCGCCAGAGGCCUUCAAACUCUGAAUGUUAGUGUCGUCUGAGUACUAUAUAAUAGUUAAAACUUUCAACAACGGAUCUCUUGGUUCUG
rnacentral:misc_RNA from 1 species